AAUCACUACGGGCUACAAGCUGUCUUCUCUGGGCCACAUUCAGCCCGUGGGCCGUGUGUUGUGCACCCCUGCACGGGUAACAGGUCAUCAUUCUUUUCCCACACAUCACAGUGAACCAGAUUGAGGCCAAUCUACCUGAUGCGUCCAGAGGACGUGGAAGGAGACGGGGGUUCGUAGAUUACAUCAUCCUAAUGGACUGGUUCAGCUCUGUUACUGCCUCAAACUGGGAAGCACCUUACAAAGCCUCAAAGAUGCUCUCUACAAGGUAACAUAACAUAGGAUGUGUGUUCCCUGCAAUGCUUCCUCAGUCAGUGUGUUUCCAUUGAGGUAAUGUGUGUUUCCAUAGAGGUAAUGUGUGUUUCCAUCGAGGUAAUGUGUGUUUCCAGAGGUUAUGUGUUUCCUAAGUCAGUGUGUUUCAUUGAGGUAAUGUGUGUUUCAUUGAGGUAAUGUGUGUUUCCUCAGUCAGUGUGUUUCCAUUGAGGUAAUGUGUGUUUCCAUUGAGGUAAUGUUUGUGUUUCCUAAGUCCGUGUGUUUUCAUUGAGGUAAUGUGUGUUUUCAUUGAGGUAAGUGUGCUUCCAUUGAGUAAUGUGUGUUUCCAUUGGGUAAUGUGUGUUCCAUUGAGGUAGUGUGUUCCAUUGAGGU
rnacentral:lncRNA from 1 species